GGGCCGGCGCCCCCCGCGGGGGGCGGGGAGCCCGCCAGCGCUCCCCCCCGUGGUGACAGUUUCUAGAAGCACGUCCCGGCGUCCCUUGCGCGCCCAACAUGGAGGAGCUGACGGUGGAAGUGCGCGGCUCCAACGGGGCCUUCUACAAGGGAUUUAUCAAAGAUGUUCAUGAGGACUCGCUCACUGUUGUAUUUGAAAACAAUUGGCAACCAGAGCGCCAGGUGCCCUUUAAUGAAGUCAGAUUACCGCCACCCCCCGAUAUCAAGAAAGAAAUUGGUGAAGGAGAUGAAGUGGAGGUUUAUUCUAGAGCAAAUGACCAAGAACCUUGUGGCUGGUGGCUGGCAAAAGUUCGAAUGAUGAAAGGAGAGUUUUACGUCAUUGAAUAUGCUGCUUGUGAUGCCACUUACAAUGAAAUUGUCACUUACGAACGACUCCGACCUGUGAAUCAAAAUAAAACCGUCAAGAAGAACACCUUUUUCAAGUGCACAGUGGAUGUUCCUGAGGAUCUGAGAGAUGCGUGUGCUAAUGAAAAUGCACAUAAAGAUUUCAAGAAAGCUGUGGGAGCAUGUCGAAUUUUUUAUCAUGCUGAAACUGCUCAGCUAAUAAUACUGUCUGCCAGCGAAGCAACAGUGAAGAGAGUGAAUAUACUGAGUGACAUGCAUUUGCGCAGCAUUCGUACCAAACUUAUGCUUAUGUCAAGAAACGAAGAAGCUACAAAGCACUUAGAAUGCACAAAGCAGCUUGCUGCAGCAUUUCAUGAGGAAUUUGUAGUCAGAGAAGAUUUAAUGGGACUUGCUAUAGGAACACAUGGGAGUAACAUACAACAAGCCAGAAAGGUUCCAGGAGUUACUGCCAUUGAACUUGAGGAGGAUACUGGUACUUUCCGAAUCUACGGAGAGACUGCUGAUGCAGUAAAAAAGGCUAGAAGUUACUUGGAAUUUGUGGAGGAUUUUAUUCAAGUUCCCAGGAAUCUCGUUGGAAAAGUUAUCGGAAAAAAUGGAAAAGUCAUUCAGGAGAUUGUGGACAAGUCUGGAGUCGUCCGGGUGAGAAUUGAAGGAGAUAAUGAAAAUAAACUGCCCCGUGAAGACGGAAUGGUACCAUUUGUAUUUGUUGGUACUAAAGAAAGCAUUGGAAACGUCCAAGUUCUUUUAGAAUACCACAUCGCAUAUCUAAAGGAGGUAGAACAACUAAGACUGGAAAGGCUUCAGAUCGAUGAACAGCUGCGUCAGAUCGGUAUGGGUUUCAGACCUUCCUCUGCUAGAGUUCCUGAAAAAGAGAAGGGUUAUACAACCGAUGAGAGCACCCUCUCCUCGGUGCAAGGCUCCCGAUCCUACAGCGGAAGAGGGAGAGGCCGCAGAGGCCCCAAUUACACAUCUGGUUACGGUACAAACUCUGAGCUCUCCAAUCCCUCUGAAACGGAAUCGGAGAGAAAAGAUGAACUUAGUGACUGGUCCUUAGCAGGAGAAGAUGACAGAGAAAGCAGACAUCAACGUGACAAUAGACGACGUCCAGGAGGACGAGGACGCAGUGUAUCUGGAGGCCGUGGGCGUGGUGGACCUCGUGGUGGCAAGUCAUCCAUUAGCUCUGUGCUUAAAGAUCCGGAUAGCAACCCUUACAGCCUGCUUGAUAACACAGAGUCAGACCAGACUGUGGAUACCGAUGCUAGUGAAUCUCACCACAGUAGUAACCGACGCAGGAGGUCACGCCGGCGAAGGACUGACGAAGAUGCUGUUCUUAUGGAUGGAAUGACAGAAUCUGAUACAGCUUCUGUUAAUGAGAAUGGUUUAGCACUGGCUGAGAGGCCAAGAGUCGGGAUGGCGGGAUGCGGGCGCGCUGGCAGAGCGCUGUGAGGGAACUCACGUGGGAUCUGCAGGCCCGCGCCCGCGGCAAACCGCGGCCGUCGGUCCUUGGCUUUUGUGAAUAUUUGUAAGUCAUCGACAAAUUGAGGGUGGGAAGGAGGAGGAAUUCAAAUGAAAUUGCAUGUUUCCAAUUUUUUGUUGUUGUGGCUUGUUGCAUUUCUUUUGUGUGUACUAACACUGGAAAUGUUAAAGGUGACCUAGCUGACUUCCAAUAUAAUGCCCUGUUUAGAAAACGCUUGCACAUACACGGCGUAAGGUAGUAACAGAAGGUCUUCUAGAUCGACAGGUUCAAAAUUUCACCCGUAUUUGUCUUCCUUAUAUCUGUGGUGCUCAUACAUCAUUUGAUUUGAGAAGAAGAAAGUAGUUGCAUUACACUAACUAAAACCUGGGGGAAGAAAAAGAACCCCAAACACCCUAACCCCCCCCUAAAAAGACCAAACCCAAAGUAACCCAUUGCUUCUCAACUUUCUGGUUUUGUAACAGUGAUACGAGUUUAUAAAGGGGUGGAAAAAGUAAAAAUGGAUUUCAGCUUUUACUUUGAAGAAACUAAUUUCAGCCAGUGGCAUAAAGAGACGUUAGUCAUCUCUACAAAAGCUAUGAUGUUUUUGUUUUAAAUCUGAGCAUUAGAAGAACAAACCAAAAUUUCCCGAACAAGAAUUACCAGUUUUUUCCUGUUGAUGUCUUUGUUCCAGAUGCCAUUUUCAGUUUGCGUAAUAAAUAUUUUUAAAUGCAACAGUGAGAGCAACGGUAGCUAGGUAUACUGUCUUUGUGAAAAACACUCUAGCAAUUUAAUCCCCUCACAAAUACUUAGUGUUACAGUGAGUGAAAUUAAGACAGAGGGAACUUGCCCCCCCCCCCCCCCCAGAUGCUAAUGAUGUGCUUCAGUCAUUUAGCUGUAUUAUUUGAUUUCCAUUGCUAGAUGCUUUGGGUUCCUACAGCAUACGUGAAUAUUAAGAACUGGUGUCUUACCCUGCGUGCAUAAGACAUGCUUCAGCUUUACCUUAGAGGAGCUGGGUACAGAACCUCAUUUUAAAGAAAUAGUUCUUGUGCAGAAACUCACUUGGUUUUGACAGUUAUGCAAGGACCCAGUUGUAAGAAGUCCAGUUACUGUAACAGAAAAUCCAGGUGCUGCACCUCCUAUUCUGAUGUAGGCUUUAUGCACAGUCAUUCCGAAAUGCAGGAAAAUAGUUCACCUGCAUGCAUGAUAUCCUAAAUACAAGUGACUACUGUCCGAUAGGUAACACUUGCCAACUCUAAUGUGCUUUAGCUCAUCAAAGAUACAAGUGUGUAUUUAAAUUUGUUAGUACUGUGUAUUCUAAAGAUAGAACUGACUCUCGGUGUGGUUACAAGAGGGCGGGAUAAGACAAAACCAGGCUCCAGGAACGUGUGCCGAGGUGGUAAGAAGAAAAGAGGUCAGAACCCCCUGGCCAGCAUCCAGUAAGUGUAGCCUAACAGUGCACACAGGGCUGUCCUGCUUUUGAGCACGGGCCACUCCUACAGAGCCGCUUCGAGCGUCUGUACACACACAAUUAACCCACCCACCCACAAGCCAGAGCUAACUGCGGAUUGCGUGUUGAAUACCAGGAGGAGGGCGAGUUCUCUUGCCAACGGCUUCAUGAAGUAACAAAGAUUUGAAUGCUGCCGUAUCGUAAGUGACACCACGCUCUGAACCUCCCCCAGUUCUUAUUUUAACUUACCUUCAUUCCAUUAGCGUGAGAGUCUCUGCUACUCGAGAUGGUAAAACCCCAGUGACAAACACGGGCUAUAAAGAGCCUGCAGUCUGAGCUCUUUAAACCCAGUAGAGAAAGCCCUGAUUUUUCCCAUGAAAUUUAUAAUUGGACCAAAAUAACUCUUUUAUUAAGAUUCCACCUUCAGAUCAUCACGUUACCACUGAUUUUAGUGAAAAUUGUAUUUAACAGAAACAAAUUAAUCCUUGCUAUGUAGUCGAUACCUGUAAGUGUGAAGGCCUUUUGUGAGAUGUCUCCCAGUUACGCUAUAACUUGUACAGAAAAGACAUAUGAAGCUUAAUGCUAAAUGAGACUUCUGAUGUGUCACUGUAAUCUUUUUUUCCUUGAACAGUAACAGUAGCUGAUUACAUAUCACGAGCUGAAUCUCAAAGCCGACAGCGAAACCCUCCGAAGGAGACACUAGCCAAAACCAAGAAAGAAACAGCAAAAGAUGCGAUUGAUGAAAACAGCCCUUCCGAAAAGGCAGUGAACGGUCCUGCUA